UACGAUGAGCCGAGAGGUCGGUAACCAACCCCAAUUGGUUACGUUGAUUUUUUCGGAAAGGGGACACGAAACCUACCGGAUUGUAGGGUGUUCGAUUCAAGGGUGAUUGUGAACUAG
rnacentral:ncRNA from 1 species